rnacentral:lncRNA from 1 species
CUCCAGUUUCUACCCAGUGCAUUGUGCCCCUCUAGGAACCUUCUCUGUACUAUAGUACCACUGACCUGCAGUCAACACUGGGCUGAGGGUAUCACAUAGGAAGUUUCAACAAUAACUUAUACACAUUGUUGUACACAAUUUGAGUAGGAUGAGCAAAGCCUCUUGACAUCCUACUGGAGCCAGAACCAUUCCUUUGGAGGCUGGAAAAACUGGUUAAGAGCCCUGGCUGCUCUCCCAGAAGACCCAGGUUCAAAGCCCAGCACUGAGGUGGGCUUUCAGCCCUCUGUAGCUCCCGUUCCAAGGGAUGCAGCACCCUCUUUCGGCCUUCCGAGGUACUGCAUGCACAAGGAGGCAAGACACGGGUACCCAUAAAGUAAAAAUAAAGACAUCUUAAAACAAAAGAAGAUAGCGGAGUCCAGACUGUCCGUGGUCGCUCGCAAUAGCAACGGAGGCAGGUUCUACUCACUACACGGUCACGGUAUGGCUGUUUGUCAAAGACCUGCUCGAUUUACGUGCACCUCACUAGGCGCAGGGAGAGCCAUCUCGAUGGCGGAGGAGCCAAGGUAACUUCCUUUUCUCGCAGCAUGGAAGUUGAUCCCUGGAGCCGACGGGAGCUGUCAGAGACGAUCAGUGAAAGAGCCAUGAGCAUCCUGAGAGUUGGCUGCGGAGUUACCGUGCCACCACCGUGUGAGAACCCAGAGAAGAGGCUCCUUCUCUGGCCCAUUCUCUGGGAAGGGCCGGACACACCAGAACCUGCGGGCUUCGAGGAACCGGGAAGCGCGAUGUCAUGGCCGGGUACAUAGUGACAUCUAGUGGUCGGAAUGGGAAGUGGAUGUCCCUGUGACGUUGAGGAUGUUUUAAGGCUGGGAUGCGGGUGCAAAGCCACCAAGAGAGGCCAUGAAGGCAGCUGUAGCUCCAUUGGUAAAGCCUUCUGUGUGAGUACGGAGAGCCGAGUUGGCUCUCCAGAGCUCGUGGAACAGCUCGUGGCAGCGUGUACUUGUAACUAGCUCUAAACACGUGUGCAUGGGAGCGAUCCUGAAUGGACCCAGUAGAUUGUGUCUGUGUGUGACAAUUUUAAAAGAAAAAAAAAAAAAAAACGAGGUCAUGAAUUUGAAGAGCGAGGGGAACUCAACAGAGGAGGGGGGAAGAGGUUGAAAUUAUGUAAAUACAUGAAAUUCUCAAAGAAAUAAACCUGUAUUUAAAAAACA